CCUACGGGAGGCAGCAGUGGGGCAUAUUGGGCAAUGGGCGCAAGCCUGACCCAGCAACGCCGCGUGAAGGAAGAAGGCUUUCGGGUUGUAAACUUCUUUUGUCAGGGACGAAGCACGUGACGGUCCCUUGCGCCUCCGCCGCGGCUAACUACGUGCCAGCAGCCGCGUUACUACGUAGGUGGCACGCGUUAUCCGGAUUUACUGGGUGUAAAGGGCGUGUAGGCGGGGACGCAAGUCAGAUGUGAAAGCCCCGGGCUCAACCGGUGGCCUGCAUUGGAAACUGUUUGUCUUGAGUGCAGGAGAGGCAAUCGGAAUUCCGUGUGUAGCGGUGAAAUGCGUAGAUAUACGGAGGAACACCAGUGGCGAAGGCGGAUUGCUGGACAGUAACUGACGCUGAGGCGCGAAAGCGUGGGGAGCAAACAGGAUUAGAUACCCCAGUAGUC
rnacentral:rRNA from 1 species